rnacentral:rRNA from 1 species
AUGCCGAACGCCGCCAUGGCCGGAACCAAGUUCUCGUCGUACCACCUCGCCGCAGCGCUCCGCCGCGAGCGCGACCCCUCCGCCGCGCUGCGCCUCUUCCUCAACCCGCCGGCCACCCCUGUUUCCACCCCGUUCCGCUACUCCCUCCGCUGCUACGACCUCAUCAUCUCCAAGCUCGCCGCCGCGCGCCAGUUCCCGGCCAUGGAGGCCCUCCUCUCCAGCCUCCGCGCCUCCUCCCUCCAGCCCCGCGAGCCCCUGCUCCGCUGCGUCAUAUCCGCCUACGGCCGCGCCCGCCUCCCCGCCGCCGCCCGCCGCGCCUUCGCCCACCCCGCCUUCCCCGGCCCCCGCACCACCCGCGCCCUCAACGCCCUCCUCCACGCCCUCGCCGUCUGCAGCACGCCCCUCGCCGAGCUCCUCUCCGUCUGCCGGGACGCCGCCAUCCCUCCGGACGCGUGCACCUACAACAUCCUCAUGCGCGCGUCUGGUGGCUCCAUCGACCACGUCCGCCUCCUGUUCGACGAAAUGCUGCAGCGGCGGAUCGCCCCCACCGUCGUCACGUUUGGCACCCUGGUCGCCGCGUUUUGCGAUUGUGGCCGGCUCGAGGAGGCGUUCGACGUCAAGGACGCCAUGGCUAAGCAGUACAAUGUGAGGCCAAAUGCUCAUGUGUAUGCCAGUUUGAUGAAGGGGCUCUGUCAGAGGGGGGAUGUGGACAAGGCGGUCAGGCUCAAGGAGGAGAUGGUGGCGAGCGCAGAUCUUGGACUGGAUUCCGCCAUUUACGCGACCUUGGUUAGGGCGUUGUUUAGGGGUGGCCGGAAAGGGGAAGUGGUUGGUUUGCUGGAAGAGAUGAAGCGAAGGGACAUUCAGGCUGAUAGGGUGGCGCACAAUGCAAUGAUCGCAGGUUUCUGCGAGGAUGAGGGCGAUCUAGAUGCUGCAUUCACGGUGCUGGAUGACAUGCAGAAAAGUGGGUGCAAGGCAGAUGCAGUUAGUUAUAACACAUUGGUUGCUGGGCUGUGCAAGUUGGGGCGGUGGCGGGACGCAAAUGAGUUGGUUGAGGACAUGCCUAGAAGGGGCUGCCCUCCUGAUGUGGUGACGUACAGAAUGCUCUUUGAUGGGAUGUGUGUUGCCGGGGCGUUCCAUGAAGCAGAUCAGGUUUUGGAUGAGAUGACUUUUAAGGGUUUUGCGCCAAGCAAGGAUGGCGUGACCAAGUUCAUUCAGGGAAUUGAGAGGGAAGGGGAUGCAGUGUUGCUAGAGUCAGUGUUGUGCCGUCUGGCAAAGGUGAACGCUUUGGAGUCAACUGCAUGGGAGAAAGCUGUCACCAGUGCGCUGAAUGAUCCUGCAGAGCUUAUGAUAGAGAAACAUCUGGAUAAUUUAAGAUUCAAUUGA